GUCGUCGUAGCUCAGCUGGAUAGAGCACAUGAUUUCUAAUCAUGCGGUCGCAGGUUCGAGCCCUGCCGACGACGCCA
rnacentral:tRNA from 1 species